UCCGUAGUGAACCUGCGGAAGGAUCAUUGUCGAGAAAGCCCAGAUGAAGGAGCGAUCUGUGCAUCUUGUGUGGGAUUCGAUGGCCGUUGUUGCUGUUGUCUUCCCUCCUCGCGUGGCACCUUCUCUAGCGUAGCUCGUGCGAUGAAGAACUGCACAUGGGGGCGCUGAAUUGCGCCAAGGAGAUCGAAGCAUGGACCGCGUUCAUCGCCAUGGCUAUGUGAGCACGUAAGUGCAGUCGAAGAACCUAGGACUCUCGCACGAACUGGAUAUCUUGGCUCUCGCAUCGAUGAAGAACGCAGCGAAAUGCGAUAUGUGUUGUGAAUUGCAGAAUCCCGUGAACCAUCCAUUCUCUGAACGCAAGUGGCGCCCGAGGAUGCAAGCCGAGGGCACGCCUGCAUGGGGGUUAUGCGAUGCAUCGCUCCUGCCGAAUUGCUUGAGCCGUUCAUUUUACUUGCCCUGGCGUUUGUUUGGAGGCGAGGUGUGGCUCUCUCAUGCUGGGUCAUGGAGGAUCUGAAGUAGCGGGCACAUGGGUGGUCGUUGAUGUGGCAAGAGGUGGAAUUUGCACGAGUAUUGCCUUGGUGACGUCCUACAGGACCCAUCCUCCCAACGCGUCAUUGUGAUCCAAUGCCCCAUGCAGAGCCAAGUCCAUGCUAUCUUCUCGUGUGGAACCGUGACCCCAUAUCAGUGAGCUACCCUGA
rnacentral:rRNA from 1 species